GAUGAACGCUGGCGGCGUGCCUAAUACAUGCAAGUCGAGCGAACGGACGAGAAGCUUGCUUCUCUGAUGUUAGCGGCGGACGGGUGAGUAACACGUGGAUAACCUACCUAUAAGACUGGGAUAACUUCGGGAAACCGGAGCUAAUACCGGAUAAUAUUUUGAACCGCAUGGUUCAAAAGUGAAAGACGGUCUUGCUGUCACUUAUAGAUGGAUCCGCGCUGCAUUAGCUAGUUGGUAAGGUAACGGCUUACCAAGGCAACGAUGCAUAGCCGACCUGAGAGGGUGAUCGGCCACACUGGAACUGAGACACGGUCCAGACUCCUACGGGAGGCAGCAGUAGGGAAUCUUCCGCAAAGGGCGAAAGCCUGACGGAGCAACGCCGCGUGAGUGAUGAAGGUCUUCGGAUCGUAAAACUCUGUUAUUAGGGAAGAACAUAUGUGUAAGUAACUGUGCACAUCUUUACGGUACCUAAUCAGAAAGCCACGGCUAACUACGUG
rnacentral:rRNA from 1 species